rnacentral:rRNA from 1 species
GCAUAUCAAUAAGCGGAGGAAAAGAAACCAACAGGGAUUGCCUUAGUAGCGGCGAGUGAAGCGGCAAGAGCUCAAAUUUGAAAUCUGGUACUUUCAGUAUCCGAGUUGUAAUUUGAAGAAAGUUAUCUUGGAGUUGGCCUUUGUCUAUGUUCCUUGGAACAGGACGUCACAGAGGGUGAGAAUCCCGUGCGAUGAGGUGCCCAUUCUAUGUAAGAUACUUUCGACGAGUCGAGUUGUUUGGGAAUGCAGCUCUAAGUGGGUGGUAAAUUCCAUCUAAAGCUAAAUAUUGGCGAGAGACCGAUAGCGAACAAGUACAGUGAUGGAAAGAUGAAAAGAACUUUGAAAAGAGAGUGAAAAAGUACGUGAAAUUGUUGAAAGGGAAGGGUAUUUGAUCAGACUGAUAUUCAGUUAACACUAUCCUUGUGGAUGGUGCUCUAGCUUUUUAUUGGGCCAGCAUCAGUUUAGGUGGCAGGAUAAGAACUGUUGAACGUGGCUCUUCGGAGUGUUAUAGCUUCAGUUGAUACUGCCUAUCUAGACUGAGGUCUGCGGCUUUGCCUAGGAUGCUGGCGUAAUGGUCUAA